rnacentral:rRNA from 1 species
CACGUAGGGGCCAAGCGUUGUCCGGAUUCAUUGGGCGUAAAGAGCUCGUAGGCGGUUCAGUUAGUCGGGUGUGAAAUCUCCGGGCUCAACCCGGAGGGGCCACCCGAUACUGCUGUGACUCGAGUCCGGUAGGGGAGUGGGGAAUUCCCAGUGUAGCGGUGAAAUGCGUAGAUAUUGGGAGGAACACCGGUGGCGAAGGCGGCCCCCUGGACCGGUACUGACGCUGAGGCGCGAAAGCGUGGGUAGCAAACGGG